rnacentral:rRNA from 1 species
UACGGGGGGGGUAAGCGUUGUUCGGAAUUACUGGGCGUAAAGGGCUCGUAGGCGGCCAACUAAGUCAGACGUGAAAUCCCUCAGCUUAACUGGGGAACUGCGUCUGAUACUGGAUGGCUUGGAUUUGGGAGAGGGAUGCGGAAUUCCAGGUGUAGCGGUGAAAUGCGUAGAUAUCAGGAAGAACACCCGUGGCGAAGGCGGCUCUCUGGUACGUGACUGACGCUGAGACGCGAAAGCGUGGGGAGCAAACAGG